rnacentral:rRNA from 1 species
AAUUCGAUUUUGGAGGGCAAGUCUGGUGCCAGCAGCCGCGGUAAUUCCAGCUCCAAUAGCGUAUAUUAAAGUUGUUGCAGUUAAAAAGCUCGUAGUUGAAUUUCGGGAUCAGUACGCUGGUCGUGCCUUCGGUAUGCACUGGUGUCACUGGUUCCUACCUUCUGAAGAACCGUCAUGCCAUUCAGUUGGUGUGGCGGGGAAUCAGGACUGUUACUUUGAAAAAAUUAGAGUGUUUAAAGCAGGCUCGCGCUUGAAUACAUUAGCAUGGAAUAAUGAAAUAGGACGUUUGACCCUAUUUUGUUGGUUUCUAGGAUCGACGUAAUGAUUAAUAGGGAUAGUUGGGGGCAUUAGUAUUCAAUUGUCAGAGGUGAAAUUCUUGGAUUUAUUGAAGACUAACUACUGCGAAAGCAUUUGCCAAGGAUGUUUUCAUUAAUCAAGAACGAAAGUUAGGGGAUCGAAGACGAUCAGAUACCGUCGUAGUCUUAACCAUAAACUAUGCCGACUAGGGAUCGGAUGAUGUUAAUUUUUUAAUGGCUCAUUCGGCGCCUUACGGGAAACAAUCA